rnacentral:rRNA from 1 species
GAUGAACGCUGGCGGCGUGCCUAAUACAUGCAAGUCGAGCGAAUGGAUUAGGAGCUUGCUCUUAUGAAGUUAGCGGCGGACGGGUGAGUAACACGUGGGUAACCUGCCCAUAAGACUGGGAUAACUCCGGGAAACCGGGGCUAAUACCGGAUAACAUUUUGAACCGCAUGGUUCGAAAUUGAAAGGCGGCUUCGUCUGUCACUUAUGGAUGGACGCGCGUCGCAUUAGCUAGUUGGUGGGGUAACGGCUCACCAAGGCAACGAUGCGUAGCCGACCUGAGAGGGUGAUCGGCCACACUGGGACUGAGACACGGCCCAGACUCCUACGGGAGGCAGCAGUAGGGAAUCUUCCGCAAUGGACGAAAGUCUGACGGAGCAACGCCGCGUGAGUGAUGAAGGCUUUCGGGUCGUAAAACUCUGUUGUUAGGGAAGAACAAGUGCUAGUUGAAUAAGCUGGCACCUUGACGGUACCUAACCAGAAAGCCACGGCUAACUACGUGCCAGCAGCCGCCGUAA